rnacentral:rRNA from 1 species
AAUCUGCCCUUGAACUGGGGAUAACUCCGUGAAAACGGAGCUAAUACCGAAUGUGGCUCCGACCCGCAUGGGUUGGUGGCUAAAGGUGGGGAUCGCAAGACCUGCCGUUCAAGGAUGAGCCCGUGUGCCAUCAGCUUGUUGGCGAGGUAACGGCUCACCAAGGCUUACGGCUAGCUGGUCUGAGAGGACGACCAGCCGCACUGGGACUGAGACACUGCCCAGACUCCUACGGGAGGCUGCAGUCGAGGAUCAUUCGCAAUGGGCGAAAGCCUGACGAUGCGACGCUGCGUGGAGGAUGAAGGCCUUCGGGUUGUAAACUCCUGUCAUGAGGGGAAAAGGUGCCGGGUGUUAACAGCAUCCGGCCUCGAUGGUACCUCAAGAGGAAGCCACGGCUAACUCCGUGCCAGCAGCCGCGGUAAUACGGAGGGAGCUAGCGUUGUUCGGAAUUACUGGGCGUAAAGCGCACGUAGGCGGCUUUGUAAGU